AAAUUGAAGAGUUUGAUCAUGGCUCAGAUUGAACGCUGGCGGCAGGCCUAACACAUGCAAGUCGAACGGUAACAGGAAGCAGCUUGCUGCUUCGCUGACGAGUGGCGGACGGGUGAGUAAUGUCUGGGAAACUGCCUGAUGGAGGGGGAUAACUACUGGAAACGGUGGCUAAUACCGCAUAACGUCGCAAGACCAAAGAGGGGGACCUUCGGGCCUCUUGCCAUCAGAUGUGCCCAGAUGGGAUUAGCUUGUUGGUGAGGUAACGGCUCACCAAGGCGACGAUCCCUAGCUGGUCUGAGAGGAUGACCAGCCACACUGGAACUGAGACACGGUCCAGACUCCUACGGGAGGCAGCAGUGGGGAAUAUUGCACAAUGGGCGCAAGCCUGAUGCAGCCAUGCCGCGUGUAUGAAGAAGGCCUUCGGGUUGUAAAGUACUUUCAGCGGGGAGGAAGGUGUUGUGGUUAAUAACCGCAGCAAUUGACGUUACCCGCAG
rnacentral:rRNA from 7 species